UGAACGCUAGCUACAGGCUUAACACAUGCAAGUCGAGGGGCAGCAUGAAGUUUGCUUGCAAACUUUGAUGACGACCGGCGCACGGGUGAGUAACGCGUAUCCAACCUGGCCCAUACCACGGGAUAGCCCGUCGAAAGGCGGAUUAAUACCGUAUGCUGUCAUUAAGAUGCAUAUAUUGAUGACGAAAGGAUUGGCGGUAUGGGAUGGGGAUGCGUCUGAUUAGCUUGUUGGCGGGGUAACGGCCCACCAAGGCGACGAUCAGUAGGGGUUCUGAGAGGAAGGUCCCCCACAUUGGAACUGAGACACGGUCCAAACUCCUACGGGAGGCAGCAGUGAGGAAUAUUGGUCAAUGGGCGAGAGCCUGAACCAGCCAAGUAGCGUGCAGGAUGACGGCCCUAUGGGUUGUAAACUGCUUUUAUAAGGGAAUAAAGUGGGUCACGUGUGACUUUUUGCAUGUACCUUAUGAAUAAGGACCGGCUAAUUCCGUG
rnacentral:rRNA from 1 species